GGUUGAAUACUAAAAUAUGUCUAUUUAGUUGUUUUCCUUAAUUUUUUUUAUAAAGCGCACCAUCAUUGGUGAAUUACUGUUACAAUGAAAGACUGUCGUCAACCAACAGAAGACAAUCCACCAGAUGUGGAUUUGUAUGGAGACGAUCGUUCUACAGAUAAACAGAACCUCGUACGACUGUUACAUCUGGGAUGACUGGGCGAGCCAGAAAAUCAAAAAAAAAUAUUAAUAACUAGAGGUCUAACAAAAAAUUAAACCAAAACUAGAAUAAUAAUAAAAGCAAACCAUAAUAGAAACUGUGUUGUAAAUGAAAAAUU
rnacentral:lncRNA from 1 species